GAUGAACGCUGACAGAAUGCUUAACACAUGCAAGUCAACCUGAAUUUGGGUUUUUAACUUAGAUUUGGGUGGCGGACGGGUGAGUAACGCGUAAAGAACUUGCCUCACAGCUAGGGACAACAUUUAGAAAUGAAUGCUAAUACCUGAUAUUAUGGUUAUAGGGCAUCCUAUAAUUAUGAAAGCUAUAUGCACUGUGAGAGAGCUUUGCGUCCCAUUAGCUAGUUGGAGAGGUAACAGCUCACCAAGGCGAUGAUGGGUAGCCGGCCUGAGAGGGUGAACGGCCACAAGGGGACUGAGACACGGCCCUUACUCCUACGGGAGGCAGCAGUGGGGAAUAUUGGACAAUGGACCGAGAGUCUGAUCCAGCAAUUCUGUGUGCACGAUGAAGUUUUUCGGAAUGUAAAGUGCUUUCAGUUGGGAAGAAAAAAAUGACGGUACCAACAGAAGAAGUGACGGCUAAAUACGUGCCAGCAGCCGCGGUAAUACGUAUGUCACAAGCGUUAUCCGGAUUUAUUGGGCGUAAAGCGCGUCUAGGUGGUUAUGUAAGUCUGAUGUGAAAAUGCAGGGCUCAACUCUGUAUUGCGUUGGAAACUGUGUAACUAGAGUACUGGAGAGGUAAGUGGAACUACAAGUGUAGAGGUGAAAUUCGUAGAUAUUUGUAGGAAUGCCGAUGGGGAAGCCAGCUUACUGGACAGAUACUGACGCUGAAGCGCGAAAGCGUGGGUAGCAAACAGG
rnacentral:rRNA from 1 species